CAUAAUAAAAAAAACAUUGAAUAUUUAAUCAAUAAAAAGUAUUAGUUAUGAAAGUACACAAAUAAAAAAAAUUUAUUAUUCCAAUAAUAACAAUUAUUUAUAGCACUACUGCAAUAAAAUUAAUUACAGCAGUAAACAUUUAAUAUCAAAAAAACAAAUUAAACCGAAGGGCAGAGAAAAAGACCCUGGUGCUUCUAAUUUUUCCAAGGACGUUCUCACUGCUAUAACAAAAAAUAAAAAAUAAAUAUAAUAUUUAAAUUUCCAUUCAUAUAAAAAUGAAAAUUUAAAACUUUUCACCAAAAUGGUGAAAUCGGAGUUUCAGCUUCAUUUUUAGCAGCAGAGGCGGAAAAGGUGGAUGGUGGUGAGGAUGCAGGUGAAGAUGGUGAUGGAGAUUGCGAAGGCAAAUCCAUUGUAGAAUAUGAUCCUGAAGGAGAAGGAGAUGGAGAUGAUUCUUGACCCUCUACAAAGAAUAAGAGAAGUGAAGAAACAACAAGGAGAAGCAUCAACUUUUUAAGCUCCAUUUUUCUUAAUUAUUUGUAUUUCUUUUCUCUUCUUCUUGUAAUUUUCCAAAUCUCUUUCAAGGAGAGUGAUGAAGACGAUUGCAUAGUAGGAUAGUUUU
rnacentral:lncRNA from 1 species